rnacentral:rRNA from 1 species
CAGUAGCCACGGGAAUACGUAGGGUCCGAGCGUUGUCCGGAAUUACUGGGCGUAAAGCGUGCGUAGGCGGCUUCUUAAGUCGGAUGUGAAAUCCCUGAGCUUAACUUAGGAAUUGCAUUCGAUACUGGGAAGCUAGAGUAUGGGAGAGGAUGGUAGAAUUCCAGGUGUAGCGGUGAAAUGCGUAGAGAUCUGGAGGAAUACCGAUGGCGAAGGCAGCCAUCUGGCCUAAUACUGACGCUGAGGUACGAAAGCAUGGGGAGCAAACAGGAUUAGAUACCCGAGUAGUCCCUGUCUCUUAUAC